AUCGCCAGAGCUCUUAAUGUC
rnacentral:miRNA from 1 species